AGCGAACGCUGGCGGCGUGCUUAACACAUGCAAGUCGAGCGAGAAAGGGGGCUUCGGCCCCUGAGUACAGCGGCGAACGGGUGCGUAAUACAUGAGCAAUCUACCCUUGAGGCGGGAAUGACCCAGCGAAAGUUGGGCUAAUACCGGAUAAGACCACAAGAGGAAACCCUAGAGGUCAAAGGCAGUUCUCUUUUGGGGGCGGCCCUUCGAGGAGGAGCUCAUGUCCUAUCAGCUAGUUGGUAGGGUAACGGCCUACCAAGGCGAAGACGGGUAGCUGGUCUUAGAGGAUGAUCAGCCACACGGGGGACUGAGACA
rnacentral:rRNA from 1 species